UACGUAGGGAGCAAGCGUUGUCCGGAAUCAUUGGGCGUAAAGCGCGCGUAGGUGGCUUCGUAAGUCCGUUGUGAAAGUCAAAGGCUCAACCUUUGAAAGCCGAUGGAUACUGCGGAGCUAGAGUACGGAAGAGGCGAGUGGAAUUCCUGGUGUAGCGGUGGAAUGCGCAGAUAUCAGGAGGAACACCGAUGGCGAAGGCAGGUCUCUGGGCAUUAACUGACGCUGAGGAGCGAAAGCAUGGGGAGCGAACAGG
rnacentral:rRNA from 1 species